GCUCCCGUGGCGGAAUGGUAGACGCGGCGGCCCGAGGAGCCGUUGUUUUAGGACUUGUGGGUUCGAGUCCCACCGUGAGCA
rnacentral:tRNA from 1 species